GAUGUGAAUCCAGAAAGUGUGGUGAAGAGUUUGUGCUUGCUAUCCAUACUCUUUGGAAGGUAUAUGAUCAGGGCAAAGCGUUUUCACAUAUUUGCUUUCUCUCCAGGAAAAGGCAAUGAGGGUAGGAUGUCAGGAAUCCCUCCUUAAAAUGCCAACAUCCUGGGGCAAGAGGCAUAUCUGAAAUCAACAAUGUGAAAUCUUUAGUGGGGAAUUAGUGGACAGUGAGAUGAGUUCAGCAAAUCAAAGCAAAACAAAACAAAACACAGGCUGGUAGGGGAGUAGGGGAGCAGGGCAAGAGAAAGAAAAAGUCAGGGAAGCUGAGUGGGGGGCUACUUAAGACAAACUCUAGCAAAUUCUAGUUUGAAAGUAUCACUAAUAUGUGUUCUAUCUGUGUCAAAAAUAACCAAAUCCUGGCUUACAGUUUGCCAGAUUAGUCUUGGCUUUGAAGUAGGAUUAGAAGAUAUAAUUCAAUAGAAAUUUAUGCCUUUAAGCUAAUAUUAAUAAUAAUAUUAAUACCACUUUAUUAUUUUUACCUUUUUUCCCAAAAAAAGCAUAUGCAGUAGUAAUGCAUUAUGAUUGUAUCCAUCAGUGCUAAUAAAUAAUGAUGGUCAUUAGAAAAUAACCUUGAACAAAGGGUGCUUUUCCCUAACCAUGCAUUUGUACACAUGUGGGUGGGUGUGUGCUUAGUUGUUUACCCUCAGUUAUAAAAAGGAGAUGACUUCUCUGUUGGAAGAACAAGUCCCUGGCUACAAUUUGGAAAAUGUCACUAUGAAAUGUAUUUGUUAAAAUAAUUUCAUUUCCAUCGCUCUAUCUUGUUAAAGAACAUCUAAGAGCAAAAAGCAUAAGGAAAAAAUGACCCCUAACCCAUCCAAUGUGACAAAUUAUGUUCCACAUAUGCUUCUAUGUACACAUAUAAUCACAAAUAACUUUUGCUAUCAAAACUAAUUUUCUCCUUUCUGUUUUUCCAUGAAAGGCCCAGAAAGAAGAGGAAAGUCACACAAAAUAAUGACUUUUAUUGCAACCUACUCUCCUUUCAGAGCCACCAAAAGAUUCCUUGACUUAAUUUUACGGCAGAUACUGGACCACUGGCAUUGCUUCUAUUUUGGUGAAGAUUUCCAAUAGCCUGGCAUAUGGAUGGGUGCAUUCAUAAAAAAAGGUAGGAAGGCACUCUGAACACUUUCAAGAUCUGGUUAUUCAGCAUCUUUAACUUU
rnacentral:lncRNA from 1 species